UAUAAUAUAUAUAUAUAUAUAUAUAUAUAUAUAUGAAUGGAUGCACCCACAGACAUACAUAUGAACCCCCUACAUUUGUUUACUGGGCCAGGCGCUUUUCCUUCUAAGUUACUAUUGCUAAGCAACCAGUUCCUGCUGCUCUAAUAAAAAGUGUUCUUAACAGAGCUGCAUGAAAUUGUAUUUCUCCUGAAAAACUCUUGUGGUCAAUGUUGGAGGGCUUCAGUGAUAGGCUUUUUUAGAAUCAUUAAUGGAACAUUGUUAGAUUUGACAGUUUAACAAUACUGUUGAGGUAUCCCAGACAAUAGUUCAACAAGCUCACUUCAGCUGAGUCUUGGUAAUUUUAACAAUUUUAAAACCACCUUGAGUGGCUCUUUUAUCAGCAGAGUAAUCUAUGUUUUUUUGAUACUUUGAAUGGGUUGAUUGUCCUUAUUAUAUAUAGAUAUGUCUGAGUUUGUAAUACAAACUCAAUGUCCUAUUCAAAGAGCCACUACAAAUAUAUGAUUGUUAUAGGAACAUAUUUCCCUAUUUAGCUUGCACUUCAAAGGUUUUUCACUUUGUUAACUGUUCCAGCUGUUCAUGGUUCUCUAAAAAAGACUAAUCAGUCACCACACAAUGCCUGGAGAUUCCCCAGAGCAUGGAAACUUCAGACUGACAAAACCAGAAGUGUUUAGCAGAACCUCCUUGUAAAUCUUUCAAAUGCUACAGGAAGAGGUAAAUAAGUAGUAGAGUGACAAGAAUAUGAAAAAAAGUCCCCCAGUUACUUUUUUAAAUACAAGAUCAAUAUCAUCCACCUCAGGAAUUUAUACUCAAAAUAGCAGCUCUUGUCAUGUCUCUUGGCUUUUUCAGUGAGACCUGCAUUUAGACCCUACACCCGAAACAAUAUUUUGUAUAUUCAUAAUCUUUCAAGUGGUCCAAUUGCAAAUCCUCAGUUAUCCCUGCACUAUGUUCUUGGAUUCCUCUUGAUCUCUCAUAAGGGACCUGUUUAGUUCUGCACAGGAUUUUCAGGUCCUUAGCAGACCUGACCUGCUCAGGUGCUAUUAUUUAUAAUCUUUCUGAGCUUCUGCUAAUAGAGAACUUUCCACACUACAGGUUUUCAACUGAAUAAUGUUUAUAUCAUGAGCUUUUUAAAUUGGAAGAGUUCUCCUGGUAGCAACUCUUUGUGCCAGGUAGAUGAUAACAACUUACACGUGAAAAUGAACAUUCUUGGUGUGUGACCUAAUGAGCUCCAUUCUACCACCACCACUGACUGAGCCCUGAUGGAGAAUAAGCCAUUCAAUGACUGUGGGUGAAAUGUUUAAUGUCUCCAUGAAGCAGUUGUUCUGUAUUUAACAAGAGAAUACAGAUUACUUGCACACUUUUGUAUAUUGCAUUCGGAACUCUGGACCAGAAUGUGCUGUACAAGUAGGAGCGUCACAUCCACUCUCAGAAUCCAUGUGUAAUAGAUUCAUUGCAUGUAGAGAGGAAAGACAUUCUGAGUAGCAAUUUCAAAGGAAGAUAGUGCAUUUAUUAUGCUUUUAGGGUUUCCAUUUGUCUGCUACCCAGCCAGUUUUCUAAAUGCCACCAUACUGUGAUGUCCAUGUCAUCACCUAUUAUGGAGAAAAAAAAAAAAGCUGUACUUAACAUUAUUCAUGCUUUUAGCUGCAAUUCAAAAACUACCUGACUGCUUCUUGGAUGAAAAUCAGAAAAGCUACUCUAGUGGCAGUAAGUAAAUACUUAGGAGGAAAGAAAAGAGAAAAAUCACCAGACGGGUGAUUUUAUAGGCAACAUGCAAGAGUUUUUUGCAAGUAUGAACUCAAAACAUGCCUUUUAUCAAAAAAAAUUUUAAGGUAUACUUUUUAGGAUUAAAGCAAAAAUAUAUAUGAAAUUUGUUGUAUAUUAAAUUGUCAAUCAAUUUAGAAACUUUUAAAUUUACAAACUUUACACUACACUGUAGGACAGUAGACUGCAAUUGUUGCACGGUAUUUUAAAGGAGAAAACAGAUUUCCUACUGUUUGGAAUGAGGUCUUUUAUUAAACAAAGCCAAAACUGUGUAUGUGUGUAUGGGGCAGGGGGAAGAGAAGGGUAUCAUCCUGAGACUCUGAGGAUGUGUACAGUAAUUUACUUUUUAAAUCACACUUUCAGUAGAUACAGGUAAUUUUUUAACAAUUUUAUGUAGUCAUUUAGCCAUUAUACUUAGCUAUAUAAUAUCAUGUUUCUGUUAUCAAUGGAAAUGACUGACUGCAAGAAUAAAAAUAUCUUUUGACUUAGAAACAAUUUCACCUGAUACUUAUUUCUAAGAGAUGUAGUGGUAGCUAAGGUUUUGUCUUAAGAAAUCAUAAAAAUCUGUUGUUACAGUGACAGUCAGAAAAAUGCAGGCAUGAAGGAAAUACGUUCAUUUUCAAUAGCUGAAGAACUUAGUUACUUUUAGGCUUGUGGAAUUUAAAAGAACUUAUUAAACAUUUCAAGUUUCUUAAAGUAAGUAUUUAACAAAUUUAAGCAUUGAUACUUACAGAAUUAAAAUGUUAACGAAAAUGUUAACAAAAAUUCCAGUUAGUUAAUAUUAUUUUAAUUGUGGCUUCCUUAAUGUGACUUCCUUAAGGCUUCUUUUCAUGCAAGUAUUUGGUAUACUGUAAAGCACAGUCUCUGUCAAGUCUCCCUAUUACUGAAAUACCAAUCUGUGGUGACCUUCAGUACAGAGAAAAUAGCAAAUGCAAAGGAAAACAUACUGAGCAAAAACAAUUAUAUAUGUUUUCUUUCUGAGCAUUCCAAGGUUGUUAACCAUUGCAGGUUAUACACGUUGAUCCACCACUGAAGUGCAAAGCAGCAGCUGCUCAGAGCAAAAUGUUCUUUCUUACACUGCCAAGCAGAGAAUGCUGCAGCCAGCUAAAACUGCAAGUGGAGCUAGAAGGACAGGAGGCAAGACUGGAUAACAUGCGGUCGUCCCUCUUUGCCCUAAUUUCUGUGGAAAGGACAUGGAGACUUGUAGUCCAAAGGGGUCCACAGCUCAUGAAAGAGUUCACAAAAUUUGGGACAACGGAUCUGUAUUUGCUGUACAAGUUCAAUAAACCCUUCCUGCAUUCAUAAGAUGAUUUUUAGUAUUUUUUUUGUUAGACUGUUUCCAAAGCAGUGGGAAACUGGGCUCUCUAUCUAUGAACUGGUUAGGCUGACUAGAAUCCUUCUUGUACAAGGUCUGGGGAGUGUUAUUUUAGGGAGAAGGUCAUAAUAAUUUGAAUGCCAAGUUUUCAGUCAAUAGGAAAUACUUAAUACAGAGUACAGAGGUGUAUCUUAGUGCUCUUUUGCUUUUGAAGGUCUUUAGUAUGAACUUGUGAAUGGGGAAACACCGUGUUGUUGGGUUGUCUCUGUUUAGGCACCAUAGUAAUCUAUUUUAAAAAUGGAACAGAGAUUAUACCUCCAUGCUAAACCUCAGUGGGAAUUUAGUACUAUUUUUCUGUAGACCCUUGUACACCUGCUAUCAUCUGAAAGCUUCUUGGUGCAUUGCAGUAACCCAAACUGUGCUCUGCCCCCUGCACUACAAGAGGCUGAUGCCCAUGCGUGCCCCUCUUUCUUCUAAGCUGGGGGAUCUAAUUCAGCUCGGAUGGGUGACUGGGUUUUCAAGAGGCAAGAAUGCAAAGUAUGGUGUGACAAAGCCAAGACACACAAAGAAAUGUGACAUCCAAGUUUUAGAGCUAUCACAUUAGAAAUCAGUUUUGGAGACUGCAAAUGGAUUUUAUCCAAAAGGUUUAGUACAACUGGGGUUUGAAUGUGUGCUCUAAAUGUUCUAUGUGUUGAACUUUUUGGUAAAUUCUUCACUUUAGGAAAAAAAAAUUUAAAAUGUCUGCAAUAUUCUGAAGAGUCAUUUAAUGUGAUGUCAUCUCAUAUAAAAUAUGAGUUUGUGUACAGUGUUCUAUCUCAUUAACGAGCGGUUAAAAAAAGGACAGCAGCUAUUUAUUUUUUGAUGCUUUAAGCAUAUUAAGAAAGGUUAAGCACUUAAAAUUAUAUUGUUCAGUAUGACACAAAAGAAUUAGUUUUCUCUUUUUUCCUCUUUCCAUUUUCACAAAGAGAAAUGAAAUGAAUAGAAAUGAAAUGAAUGUUUUUAAGAGAGAUUAUGUCAAAUAGGCCAAAAUUGUACCAAAUCAUGAUGGCAAAUGGAGACAGAAAUUUUCCUAAACAGGAAAAUGAAGGAUUCCUUAGAGGUCACAGAGUACUAGGCUAAAAUGAAGGUAAUGCAGCUAAUAUCCAGUGCUUUGAUAGGUGAGGACACUGUAAUGGCCCCUCUGAGACAAUCAUUAGGCAAAACCAUUUGAAGCAGUUUUGUGGUUGCUCUGUCUUACAAAACAAAUUAGACUGCAGCUGCCGAAGGGAUUUAGACAAUACAAAUAUUAUCACAUUUUUCCCUGUUUUUCUCUUUCAGUUCUGACAAAAAAGUCGGCAGAUGUACUCAGAAAUCUGUCCAGCAGUAAUUAGAUUAACAUGGUAAUUGGACUGUAACUUCAUUUAUUCAUGCAAAUUAAGACUAAGCCAUAUUUUCAACCAUUUUUUGUUGUUUGUUUUAACAAAUAGAUUAACUUAUUUGGUAUCACAUUUAGUUGACUUUUUUUUUUUCAGGAGUCAAAUUUCCCAAUGGGUGAGAAAGUUUCUUGAGGUUUAAAGGUCAUGUCAUUGUGUAUGAAUACGAGGUCUUGUCCUUUCAGUGAAGUAGCAUAUUUAAGAAAUAUAUAAUAAGCAAGCCCAAAUAUGAGGUAAUUUAAUUGAAUAUAAUUUGGAAUGGCCUUGAGGUUCUAUUUCCUUUUUCAUUUAAUAUUGUUUAUCAAGUGAGAAAAAGCAAAAAAAGUAGAGAAGAUAGUGACCUAUUUAAAUCUUAAAUAUCAAGAUUAGAUGUACACUUUACUCAAUUUUAAUGUUGUAUAUUUGGCCUAACCUUACAGGUCAUGGGUUUCUGAACUGACUUCCUCCUUGAUAUUGUUAGUAUCUAAUUAGCUGUAAUCUUCUAUGAGGAUAAAAGUUUGGGGGUUUUUUUCUCAACUGACAUGCAUGUUGCCAGGAAAAUUAAUCCACAAACAUCAGAGUUUAUGUCCAAAAAGGAGACAGAGGAGUCCUUUUACUUUAUUUGAAUAAAGGGAGAGACCAUGGGGCAUUCCCCUGUGAUCUCUUAAAUUUUUGGGGGACACAGCCUCCUUUUUAUUCUAAUUUCCCAGCCACAUUUCCCUUCUCUCUUUCCCCAUUGACUUGAGAGGUGCAGACUUCCCGAUACACCUGAUACCAAACAUUUCCCUCUAAUGUAAAACCCUACCUUUUAAUUUUUAAUUUUUAUGGAAUUUAGGCUAUUUUUCCCCAAUCUUUCUUUCAUCUUUCAAUGUCUAAUUUCAUUUAUCAGCAAAACUAGAGUUUAUUUGUAAAAGCAAAUAUCUUUUUCCAUUCAUUAAUCAGGGGAAUCCUUCCCAUUGUUUCUUUUAUCUCUCAGUGCUAGUUUUAUCUACCAGCAGACCCACAGUUUGUUUGUAAAGACAAAUAUGCUAUUCCUCUCAUUAUCUAUUCACAUGAAUACACACAGACACACACACACACACACACACACAGAGACACACACAUUUCAACUCCAGUUGAAUAAAAACAGUUUUCAAAUUAUGCAUUGUCACCCUCAAUCCUUGAAGGACAAAAAAGAAAACUCACCUGAUUUGUGAACAUUUUAGGGGUUGGUUGACUGAAGGGUUGUUUUUCACUAAAGUUUGUAUUUUGAUACACAUGUAUACUGUAAAAUUCAAACACAUUCAAACUGCCAAUACAGAAGUCUUGCACAUGCAAUGCACACACCUGAACUUGCAAAAAUACCAUAACUGACAGGAGGAACUGCAGGGUAACAUUUAUUUGACAAAGUUGAAGAGAUUUAUGUGUUGUGGAAGAAUGUAAUUUGUGUUAAGCAUGUUCUGUGGUUGGAGGAACAAAGACUGAUCACCUCCACACCGUAACACAGAUUGAUUGCCAGAUGGAAGAAUAGUGUUUAUAAAACUUGUAGGAUAUUUAUGUCUAGCAAUGUUGAAACGGAGGUGGACAUUUAGUCUGAAAUCUGUGAUUAUCAGUAGUAUAAACAAAGACAUAGCCUUGCCCUUUUGAAAAGGUCAGGUGCAACAUUUCCUAAGAUGCUGGGCAAACUUGCAGAGCAAGAAAGGGCAGAGAAGGAAGUAUUCAGAGGGAUUGUUGGAUGCACAACCAGAAAUGCUAUGUCAGCAUGGCUGUGUGACCAGGUUGAAAUAGGGGAAAUAGGCAUAAACACAGUAAUCUGUUUAGUUUGAUGAAAUUAGAGGAAACCAAGUGAUUUGUGUUAAUAAAAAUGUAAUUUCUUUAUUUUAAAACUGAUCAAUCUUGGCUCAUAAGGAUAGGUACUAGGCUAAUUCAGUCAAUGAUUCAGAAAGGUACAGAGCAGGCUGGCAUGCUGAGUAAGAGAGGAAUGCUCAGGCAGUGUCAGAAGGUGACCAGGUGACAGAUUUGUGUCCCAGGUGUUGUUGCUGGCACUGCACCACUGUGUCUACCUUGUUCUUUGGAGGCUGUGGCACCAGGUGCACUCUGCAAGGCACAGGGCAGCAGUGAUCAAGAGCUUAUAUGAAUCAAAGUGAUUGAAAGAGAAAGGCAGGUAAAUCUGAGCCUAGAAAAUCUGUUUUUCUCCAUUUCAGUGUCUGCUGAGAACACCAGCUGCCUGAAGCCAUACUCCGUUAGGUUAGAUGAGCCUUUUCAGUGGUGCUCUGCUCCUAAAAAAAGUUCAGCAGUGCCUGGCUAAACACUAGCUGUGACCAUCAUAUUAAAAUGUACAGUUUUAGUCUUUUUUUUACCCCAUUGAGAAGAAAAGACAGUGAGGAUGCUGGGACAACUUCAUUCUACUAUGACCUUUAGAACCACAAGCUUUCAUAACAAAAAUGUCUUUCCAAGCGCCUUAUAUCUAAAAACCUUGUGUUGCUAUGCUAUAAAAACCCAGUGACAAUAUAUAGAAUUCAAGAUUAUAUUUUCAAAAACUUUCAAUGUUUUUAAGUAUAUCAGAGACAUAAAAGUUUUGAUUUAACUGAAUGCAUUUUAAAAUAUGUUGGACAAGUCAAAAUAUUCCAUUGGAUCUUGAUUAAUAAUUAAAUGGAGUCCAACAUUUUUCUGUUACCAAUGGGGUUUAUCUUUUUGCCUUUGUUCACUGUCUUGCAAUUAAAUCUUUUUUUUUUUUCCUAUUUCAUAAAUGCCCUGAUAAGAUUUUAAAUGCCUUUUUAUUUCUCAAUAUUUUUUAAAAAGGAUAGAUGUCUGGAGUAGUCUUUCCUUAUAAGUAGCUCUGAAGAAGUUUCAGAAAGACAAAAAUUUUAAACUUCAGUGUUAGGUCCAGGCCUACACACAAUCCUGUGACUUAGUUUGUGACCAUCCCAAAUCUCUUAUGACCAUUAGUAAUCACAAAAUCAAUCACUAUUGCCGAUCAGAAGAGAGGAAAAAAAAUGUAUCCAAAGGUAUAUUAGAGCAAAGGAAAAGAUUAAAGAAAAACACAAACAAACCCCUUUUGACUUACAGAGAAGAACACAAAAUGUCAAAUGGAAAAGAUUAUAUUAUAACCCUCACAUGUUGAAAUUUCCUUCAAGGCCAACUGUUCUAUUUACUGAAUAAAAUGAUCAUUAUUUCCAUUCUGCACUCAACAGGAAACACAAGUAGCAUGACAUUAAUUUGCUUUUCGGGAUGAUUUGUAUUUUUCUGUUAGGUACCCUCUAUUUUGGAAUUCACUGUUUUGCUGUGACAGACUCUGAUCUAAUGACUUUGAGGUACUAGCAUACAUUUCUUCAUUUUUCCCAUGGUGAGUUGAAUGGAUGUAUUAAGGAAAAUAUAAAAGAAAAAAAUACGGUUAGUGUCUGUAGGAAAUAGCCUAUAUGAAACAUAGUCGGGGCACAUGCAGUGAAAGGUGGCUGGUAAGUUCAUAUCUUCUGAUUUUUUUAUUCUGUAUUUCAUAAAAGCGUCUACAUCUUGGAGUGAAGACUAAAAGUAAUUAAACCUAAAAACAAGUGUGUGCAGGCCUUUCAUGUAUGUGAAAUUCCAGCUACUUUUAAUAUAUAUUAUUUCCUCCUGAGCUGUAUUUUAUGCUAAAAUGUUCUCAAAGAGUAUGCUGUCUAAGGAACAAGCUGAGAGUAAAAAGUCAUGCAAACCAGUACCCAGAGAAAAAAGGCUGACAGGAAACUAGGUAUUUUGGAGUUCUAAAGUGGUCUCUUGGGUCUUGCUUGAAUUUUGAAAAAUACCUCAGCUGCAAAAAGGUGAUUUUUGAAGACAGUGAAGAUAUUAGACUCCCAGUAAGAAUUCUAAAAAAGCCACAUUGUAUCAGUGGGAGUUCAUGGGCUGAAAAUAAGCUAGAAACCUCCUUUUAGUUCGGAAUUCUCAUGAAGAGUAAGAUCACAAAUAUCUUUUGGCCCUUUCAAAUGAAACCUAAUGAAUUUUCAGUGGAAACUUCUUUUAUAACUGCCUCUAGUACAUUUGAAAUACUCUCAGAAAGAACUUCUUGCUAAGACUAAUUGCAUUUCUCUCAUAUGUAAAGUGCAUCUGCAAAAAAAAAGAAAAAAGACAGGAGAAAAAACGACAAGAACUGUUGAAAUUAGCAACUUAUACUUUUCUGUUUCUUUAUACUUCUGUUUUCUAUUUAUAUGAGAUUAAAUAUCAUAUUUAAGUGGAACAUAGAUACAUACCCUGGAAGUAGAAUUUUUUUAAUAUCAAAGAUGGGGUAAAGUCUAGGAAUUCAUUAUGGAAAGUUGCAUGCUUCUUCUUUGAACCAGGCAUUCUUCUUUCAACAUUCUGAGUACUAAGUUCUGCCAUUUGUUCUCCUCUGUAAUCUGAAAGCCAUUACCAUUUCAUAGAAAUUUAAUAUAGUGGAGAAAACAAUGUUACAAAUUAACAGGGCAAGGAAGAGAUCAUUGGAUGACAGAUAUGUAAAAAUUUAUCAAGUAAAUUUUUAAUUGGAUAAAAGAUAUUAGUCAUUCAAACAGACAUAUUUUAUUUAUCUUACACAAUUCAAAUAAUAAUUUUUAAGUCUUAGAGUUAUGAAAAUUAGAACUUUUCUUUUUUGGAAUGAAAGGUUAAGUUUCUUCCACAUCACAUUUAACUUGGCAGCAUAGUUACUUCAUGCUUGAACAAAGAGAAGUAAAAGGGUAAUGAUUUAUGUGAAAUAUUUUUGAACUCAAGUAUCAUACAAUUAAAAAUUGCUAAUUUUUUUUUAAUUUUUAUUUUGCAUUUUGCAAUCUGCCAUAGCUGAUCUCAUACUCUUUUGUAACAUAAAAUUUUCUCAGCCUUUUUGUUUGGGGCACUAUGAAUCUGAGGGACAAAAGAAAAUCUAAGAAGGGAAAAUAAUAGCUCAAAUUUUUAUGAGCAAUCUCUGUGGUCAGAACAUUAUAAAAGAACUUAGAUACUGAAAUAUUUUUUAUCUGCAUAAAUUUCUAUGAAACUUGAUAGAGUUUACAAAAGAAAAGUUUGAAAAAUUGCAUUUGUCAGAAUAGUUUGGAUUAAAUUCUGUAUGUUAAGAUUUUUCUUAUGUUAAUAUAUGAAAAAUGCUGUAUUUAAGCAAGUUUGUCACAAUAAAUCAGGCUAAAACAGGGUUCACGUGUUCUGAGAAUGUUGUUCCUGGUAUAUUAUGCCCUAGGAAGCUAAAAAGACUCACAAGGUUUUAUCUCAUCAAGCAGCCUUUGACUCCUCGUAGAAUGCUCACAACACAUUUGUUAGGGGGAAAAUAACCUGUCAGGAGAAAGCAGAAGACACAUACAGUCAACUCACAUUUGAGUAGAAUACACUCCCUACCCUGUAUAUUUGCUUUUGUUGUGUUCUAUUUUUGCUUUACCUGCCACGUUUGAAAUACCUGUUGGCUCCCCUGCAGGACUGCAGUGGUGGUCUCAGAGAAGUGGCUCCACUUAAGUGUUUCUUUGGCAAGGUCAUGAAAGGUUGCCAAAGUGCUUGCAAGUAUUUUGAAAAUAUAUUUUUAAGGAAAAAAAUAGAAUUUUAUCUAUAACUACAUCUAUGAUAUCUCUGUCUAUAAACGCCAUAUAUAUAUCACUCCCUGAAGCUAUCCUCCAUUAGUUGUUUUACAGUGACAUUCUACAAAUUUGAACCAUUAGGAGAUUACAAAAAGAUGGCAAGUUAAAAAGGCGAAUCACAUUUUCAGAAAAUUUGAGUUGAACUGUUCAAAAUCAUACCAAACCAUGAAAAUAAUAAUGUUCAAUAAUCUCCUAGAAACAGAAGUGCCCAGUUAUUAUCCCUGAUACAUUAGUUCCCUUCUCUGCUCCCUAUUAACACCUUUCUAGAUGUUCUUCUGGUGCAUAGCUGAUCCUUCAUUCACCUACAGGUGUUUGCCAGUGUCUGAAAUCAUUCCCAUCCACAUAUAAAAAAAGAAAAAAAAAAAAAUGCAGUGCCUGCUUCUUACCAUUAUGUUAGCAAGGAACUGGGAGCUAUUUUUAUCCUUUUCCUGGAUGAUGAGCAUUUUGUUAUUUCCCAUGUACUCUCAUUCCAUAUAUCACAGUCCAAAAUUGCAUUUUCUCAGGUGGAUCUGAGGAUGCUGUUUAGUAGUUUGCUUGAUUAUAAAGGAGGGUAUCACAACCAUUAAUUUUGAUCAUGUAAUCACGUGCUCUGCAGCACCCUCCAAAAAGAUUAAUCUCUUGCCAUAUGAAGAGAUAGUAAUACUACCUUCACAACUUUCCCCUUUAAUCACUUUUGCAGCACAUUGUAAAUUAAAAACCUUAUAAAAGUCUGUCAUUUUAAUAAUUACAAUAAAAUGCUCUAUAAAUUGCUGUUAACACAAUUGAAAUUGAUCAAUCAUGUCUUUCCCCCUUAUAGAGGAAGAAGUUAUUAAACAUCUAAAAACCAGAGUUUGAAAUACUAAGGCAAGCCACAAAUUUAUUCUGUAAGGCUUGAUAUAUAGACUGACAUCUUUCCCCGCAAUUAGUAUUGCUCAAUUACUUAUGCUCUUUCCUGCACACUGUGGAAAAACCUUCAUGGCCCCACAGCUUCACUGUUCUCUCCUUCCCUGGGCACCAUUGGUAGCUCAGUUUAGGCAAGAGAUGUCUGAGAAGAUGGGUUAGAGAAAACACUGUUCCUUCCUCUGUGUCCUCUGGAAGCAACACUGGGAUCAAGAAGAGCUUCAAACGCUCACAAGCUUCCAGUUGAGGGCAGCUUCUUCACCUUUUUUGGGAAUCCAGGCUGUCAGAAAGGGGUGAGUUUAAUGCAUAAAAGCAGUAAUAAUUUAAUAGCCUCUGCUAAGGGAUAGCAUGAAGUAGUUGUGUUUUCUGGCUAGAAAAAUUUACAAAGAAAUAUGGAAAAUAUACAAGGAAAUACAAGGAAAACGCAGUUUUGUUUAAGCUGAUAGUAACAUGUAUUAUAAGUGUUAUUACUCAGAGGUGCAACCACGCUGAUUGAUGGCUUGCUAGAGACAGAAUUCAAGAGCUUUUGGUGCAUCUGGAAUAAACAUAUAUUAGAGAACUAUAUGUGACAUAUUUUGAUUCUAGCUACUAUAGAUAUAAGGGUUUUGCCUUGUAGAUUGAUAUUUUUCAUAAUUUAGUGAGCACUGAAAAAAAUAUAAAUGUGUGUAUGUGCGUGUUUAGAAGACAAAAACCCAGAAGCAUCUUUCAUUGCAGUACACCACUGGAAGAGUAUUAGCAUUAAGCUUGAAUAAGCCAAAUGCUGUCAGGAACAAGCUUGAAUUUUAUAACUUUGUCCUAAAAUGGUUAUGAAUUAUGUGCUGGACUUACUCAUCAGUGUGUCAGAUGAGUGCUGAGAUUUAAGAAAGUAGGUGUGUUCUCCACAGAAUACUACUGAAGAAAUAUUAGGCAAAUUAAACAGAAAUUUCAUCUUGAUUUGCUAUAAACUUUUCAUUUCAGGAAGUUGUAAAGAAGGAAUCAGUGGAUAACCUCAAGUUCAUGGCAGUUUUUCGACUGAGUUGGAGUAUAAUGAAUAUAUUUUAAUUUUAUUGCUUAUUAUACAAGGAUUUAAAAAAGGGUUAAGUACAAUCUGGUCAUUUUUGUUAUGCUUCAGUAUCUGCUAUUUUUAUACUAUCUUUUUUUAAAAUCUUCACCAAAUAUAAAUGCCUUAGGAUUAUAUAUACAUUUUGGAAAGCAAAAUAUUUGAAAGGAUCAGAUCACUGCCAGUACAUGCUGUAUUUAAAAUAGUUACUCAAUAUCUUUUUUGAAGAGUGAGCCAAAUAUAGGUACUGACAUUUCUUCAGCACAAAAUUGUGUUUGGUUGUUAUUAACAUAUAUGGACUGCCACAAAAUUUCAUUGCUUAUUUGCCAAUUUUGGCAACAGGGCUGCAGAGUAAUCUUUAUCCAAGACCAUCUUAAGGUGGAAAAUUUCUCAUUUGUCAAAAUAUGUCUUCUCUCAGUUCCACUCUAUCUGUCACCUUGCAGCUGUAGAUUUAUACUUCAGUUCUACCCUACAGUUCUGUGCACUUUCCCUCACUUUCUUUCUUUCUUGUGAGUAAUGUACAAUAACUAUUUUGGCGAAGACUACUUUUUGCUCGUCACAACACAAACUAAAGUGAGGUCUUUUAGAAGGAUACUGAGUUUUAUAAACACAGUUCACAAAAUUCUCCAUCAUCCUUGUGACUAAAAUCAAAGGACACUGACACUUCUUCAUCCCUACUGUUAGUAAAUCUGAAAAAUCCUCCCAGCUGUUACAUAGAACACUAUAAUUUUAUACAAGAAAAAACACCAGUACUCCUGCUGUAAGUGAAGUAAGAGAAGUUGUGGAAGAAUAGACCAAGGAUCUUUUAUCUCAGGGAUCUAAAAAUUAAAAUACGUGUUUUCAAUAGUUGCUUUUGCACACACUUAGUAUGUGUCUGCAAGCAUGUAUAAAAAUUUCUCCGCAAAGUUAUCUAGAGAUAAUAAGAAAAUAAAGAGUAUCAACACCAUGCUUUUAAAGAAUAGAAUUUAAGUUACUAUCCUUAGUCUUAGAAUUGAUUUUUUUUUCUAAUGAACAAACAGCUCUCCAUCUUUCUAGUGUCAUAGUCUUUGAUCCUGUGCUAAAAGAUUUCACAUUUCUUCUCCAGUGUAUUUGCAGGCUUUCUCUUUUCUAUUUUUGAUGCUAUUGUUGUUGUUGUUGAUCAGCCCACUGGAACUCUCUUAUCCCAGCUGAGAAACAGCAAGAUAUUUUUCUGUCACAGAAGCAGCUCUAGAUCAAGUUAUUAAGAGGUAGCACAGGAACAGAAAAGCACGUAAAGCAUUUCUUGAGAACAUUUAUUUCUGUAAUAGCUGAAUUAUAAUGUAAUCUUUAAUUACUUGAUCAUGUACUUUUCCUGUCUGAAAGUGAAAAAUAUUACAACUUCAUCAAAUCUUAAUGAGUUUACAUGAAAGCAAGAAAUAAUGUUUCUUAGAUGUGUGAUCCAUACCUUACAGAAUGCAAAGGUUUGCCUUCAUCUAAGAAAUUCCUUCCACAGGGAUUUUAUUGAGGAUUGGUUUUUCUCUUCAGAGUAUCUAUGCAAAUGACUGCUCCAGCAACUUGUAUGAAAUACAAGGCUUAUGAACAGGAAUGUACAGAAAUUCUGAUAUCAGGAAGAGAAUCCUAGAUGUUCCUUUUCCCAUAACUUUACAGAAAGGCUUCGAUGGUAUAAAUCCUCUUAGUUUUCACAGAGUAACAAAAUUUACUGCCCAUGGUGUAAGAGAAAAAAUCAAUAAGAGCAGUUCUUGCCAAAGGAGUUUUCAGAUACUCUUUUGAUAUCUGCUGUCAUUUCCCUUCCUUGUAUCUAGCUCUGUUCCACUAGUCUGUAUCACUUGUUUCUUUUGUCUCCAUCUCCUCUCCCAGGGUCUCCAUCACUGUGGCAAAAAAUGUAUGCCUGGCAAGGAGCUCCUUCAUUCCAACUUUCACCUCUAUCUCAAGUCUUAAUAUUCUGUGGCUGGUGUGUUCUGUGGGGAAAUCUGCCUUGUUUGGGUUCACAGCCCCCCUCAGCCUCCAGUCCUCCUAUAUACACUAGGCAGGCACACACAAAGAACCUAAAAAUCCUCUGCUAAGCCCUCAUGAUCUUCUGUUUGUUUUUUCAGGAAGUGUGUUUUCAUUAUUCUGUUGUGUUUUCAUUUCUCUCCAAGUUAAUUAAAGUUAAUUGAUUAAUUGCUACUCUGCUAUAGCAACUACCCAGCUGGAAAAGCACCAAUCUGCAGUGAUCAUAUGUGUAGAGCAUAUCUAAUUUGUUAUCUUAUAUGGAAAGGCCAGAACUCCUUGUAAAUUAGCUUUAACAAUGUGUAUUUUCCAGGAGAAGCAGUCAGAGUACAACAUAAGUACUCACUGGUUCUACCCAGCUUUUGCAGGAGAGGCACUUGAAAUCAGGAGCACAGAUGGAGCUUUGUUUCCAACCAGGCAAUUUCAGGAAUCCCUCUUCUGUUAAAAUGGAUUUUCUGGCUUCUUGCAAUUGCCACCAGUACACCUGGCAGACUCUCUGGUGCAUAAUCAAUCUGCACAUUUAGGGGGAAAAAAGCUUCCAACUUCCUUUAAAGAUAUACUGGCAACUGGAGCUGGGUACUUCCAUAAGUCAGUGGUGGAAAUUGAAAUUACAUGUUGAGAGCUGUACUUUCAGUCCAGUUUGCCUGCUACAAUCAAACAUAUUCCUCUUUGAAGAGGAAUUUGGGGAGUGAAUUUGUAAAAAUUGGGGCAUUUGUUUUACUUCAUGGCAUUUGCAAGUACAUGUAGAGUCCAUGUACAUGCUCCAGUAACUUAUUCUGGAACAUACACAUUAUCAGUCAUCCUCAUGUGCUAUAUAAGAAAACUUUAAAUUGAUCCAAAUAUAUCUUGAAAAUGAUGAAUAUACUGAAAACGUUGGCUUGAUUUGAAAUGUCUUCUUAUAAUUUCAUUUUGUAAUCAGUUCCAAAAUUUUCCAUUCUUCUCCUGAUUCAAAAAUUUGAAAAUACAAAUUCCAAAUUAUAUUUUGCCUUAGCAAAAAGUGAAUUUCUUGCUAUUUGGUUUAUUUGAGCAUUUGAGUAAAGCAAAAAAAAAAUUACAAAAUAUCUUCUGCUCAUUGAAGUUUGUGUAGGAAGAAGGAUUUGCUAAUGUUCAGAAUAUGGUAGUAAGAUAUACAUAUAUUCACCUCUGUAAAGUUCUUACAGUAUGGGUCAGAGGGUUAGGGUAAACCUGAGUUUAAAGAUUUUCUCUGAAACUGCAGAUUAAUGCAUUUGCUUUCUGUAGAAUUACCUGGUUUUGUGCCAAGAGUGAGCUAGAAAAUUUAUUACUGAAAGCAUGUUUUCCUUAUUUUCCCAGAAAAUGGGGUAGAGUGUAUGGUGUGUCUCUGUAACAUAUAGGAAUGAAAAAUUAUGAAAAUUGAGGGAAAAUGACAAUUUAUUAGCUAUUUAUUUUAAUAAACUAUAGAUUCACUUACAGUUUCUUUCUAAAAUCACAGAUUUGGUCCUAAAUAUUUGUAUGUGUAUUCAAAGGUGUAGUGUGAUACAUAACUUUAUCCAAUACCUACAUAAUAUCUAAUGUAUUAGGUAUGUUGAGUUGUGGAAAGAUUACUUCUCUAUUACACAGAGAAAUUUCACUUCACCUUAUGCUAACACAAUGAUUUUGUGAUUAAAACUGUUUAUUAUCACAUUUUUCCUCAUUUUAUUUUAGGAUUUUCUCUAAAGCUUAAAAAGAAUAUUCAGAUUCAAAGGUAUAUGUCGCAUUUGAGCAAGUAAUUAUAGUACUUUUAUCAGAUAAGUUGAUUGCUGACAAUUAACAUUAAGGAGUUUAUGUUCUUCAAGGCCACUUUCUUUUUAGAAAUACUUAAGAACUUUUCAGGGAAAUGCAAUUUUUCCAGACCAAAGAACUAAAGGUCAGACCUCAAUGUCAACAUAAAUAAAGCUUCUGGCAUUUAAGCAAAUGGUAAAAUAGAUUUGCAUUCAGAUUAAAUUUAAAAUGAUUGUUCUUUAUUUAUUAAAAGGAAAGUGAUAGCAAUUAAAAUACAAUACAAAAGGACACCACCGGAAAGAAAAAUCAGUAUUGCUCCUAUUUACAGAAUCUAAUGUGAAAAUCAUCAUUUAGAAAAAAGAGCAUGUAAAUUUGGUAGCAAAGAAAUCACUAUCACUUAUAAACACCACCACCAAAAUCAGGUAAAUCACAUAACUAAAAUAAAUGAUAUUUAUUUGAAAAGUAACUAAAACAUUACUAAAUCGUGAUAGAAAUUAUUAAACAUUUGCUUAAGCAAUAUCUUAUUCAGUUGUUUGGGUUAAAUAAUCUCAUAUUUGGAUGGACAUAGUUACAUUACAUUUAUUAAGCCUGUAAAAUUUUAUUCAGGUGUAGUCGUCAUUGGAGAUAGAAGAAAUAUACUUUCCCUUAACAACUUUAUUAAUUGGUGGUGGUUCCUGGAAUAAGAAACACAAAAGGGACUUUGAAAAAUGUUUAUUAUUAUCAUUAAUUUUGUUUGCUAGGUUUUGUAGAGAACUGUAGCAUGUGGAAUAGUAAAUUAAGAUGUGAUUGAUUUGUUAUAAAUAAGAGCAUCAAGAUUAAUUGAUUUGAGAAGAUAACUCUUAGUUGAAAAUGCUCAAGUAAUACCUUUAGCAGACUUUGCUGACUUAAACAUGAUCCAUUCUGACAUGGAUCCAUCAUGGUCUGUAAACAUGAGCAUCAAAGAAACAAACCUCAAUAAUGUGUGUGUGAGGAGUGUGGACCCUGCAUGCAACUGGCUGGAAUUUUUUUGAACAGUCAAUUUUGUCAUCAGUUGAAUGAAUUGAAAGUGAGUAAUCUGUAUUAUAGUCCAGUGGUGUCAACAGUUGAAGGUAGGGAGAUAAAGAAACAAAUGACAGCAGAGUAACUGACUGUUCCUCUCCCCCUCUUAUAAAGCUCAGACCUGGAUGGUUUUCUUGCAGGGGAGAUGAACCUCACCCAGUGCCUCUGUGUGCUUUUGUAAGGAGGUACCAUCUCACGUAAUAUUCUGUUCUGUGGGCUGCACCCACAUAAUUAUGUGACAUCAAACUCAUAUGGGAGCCUGCCAAUUAGUUGCUAUUCAUAUGCUACAAGCCCAUAAAGCAUGGAAGGAAUUAUUAAUGAAAGAGGACUUUGCUGCACCUUCCACCUCAUGAAAGGUGGAGCUUCAUGUUUUAUACCCUGGAGGCACCCAUGGUGGUUGCAAUUGGUGGUUAAGUUUUUGUGGACAAAAUGUUGACCAGAGAAGAAAAUCUACUGGUAUGACUGACAGAAUUAAAUAUAACAGUUCCUUGCAGCAAUUGUGGACUGCAAUGUAAUUCCGUGUAACUACAGGAAUUUUAAAAUAAAUGUCAUCCUUUAGGGACCAUGUCUAAUCAAUCCCUUACAAACUCAUCAGAGUAACAAAAGAUGCCUAUAUGGGAGAAUAGUGUAUGGAAUAUCUAGCAUCAGCUGAAAAGUCACUGAAUAACUUCUUUCUAGAGUGUCAUUAUUUCGUAUUUAAUACGUAAAAGAUGAUAUAAAGGUAUAUUAAUUGUUUUGUAGUGAAUGUACUUAGGUGAUAUAAAAGGUUAGGUCUUUUUCGACUAUAAUUUUAAAAAAAGGGCUGUGAAGAUACAAACGAAGUCUGUCAACUAACAUUCAACAAUUUAAGGCUACUAGGAAGCGAUUCUGCAAUGUAAAUAUUUAGCAUUAUAUUAGACACUCCACAGUGUUUUUUCUGGUCUCCAGUUGCCUGCCCAGAAGAUGAAAUACUCCUUCUAUCAUCCACGCCUACCAAACACCUCAGCAAAUUGAAACAGAAUCAAACAUGCCUAAUCUGUGUGUGGGCAGCUGAACCCCCUCCAUCAGAUUCAGCCUUGUGUCUGUGUUAACAAGACUUUUACCAUGGAUGGCUUAUUUUGCUUAUUGUAGGAAAAUAAAAUGCAGGUAAAUAAUGAUCUUUGGUCACUUGUGUUUCAGGUAAGCCUAAUUUAAAAGGUCAAGAUAAUUACUAUUUAAAAAGUAAGUAGUAUUUUUGAUCACUUAUAUUAAACAGUGAAUGCAAGACAGAAGGAAGGCUACAUUUUACAGCAGGAGAUUAAAAAAUAUAUACAUUCUGAAAAGGAUUUUAGACUGAGUAAUGAGAAAAAUUAAGCCUUCAAUUCAAAGACUAGUCAAUUUAAGGCUAAUUUGAAAUGCAUAUGCAUUCACUAAAAUUAAGGUAAGUGGAUAGCUGCAUUUUUCAGAUUAAGUGAUAUAGGGUGAGCAAAUAAUUCUCAUUAAAGCUUAGUAACUGGGCACUUUGGAAAACAGCCCAGUAUCUAACUAUGUUAUAGUCAUCUAAGUCUAUGCAAAAAUACGACCUUCAGAUCUCAGGAAUCUUUCCAACUUAUUUUAAAUCAUUACAAAGAUCAGCACACUAAAUAAGUACCUAACACAUUUCUAUUUUCUUUUUAUUUUGAGGUGUGCUUUUUUUUUUUGAAAUCUUUAGAAACAUGAGUAUCAAUUUUAGUUAUGAGUUAGCAAGUCAAGUAAUAUUCAAAUUACUGUCUGGUCCAGAGAGUACAUAUCAUUAAAAUCAUACUGACUUUAUAGGUGGAGGAAAGUUUUCUUUCAUGCAAUCCAAACACAGCAGCUCACCCCUGAUGCCAUGCUGAACUAUGAACGGAUUUCCAAAUCAUGAUAUGAAUCUGAGCAAUUUUCUGCACUGACAAGCCUCACUCAGGAGAGAGGAGACCACAGAAGUUCCUAACACAACCUUUGCAUAGCCAGGAGCUCCAUAUAAAACAAUUCAAGUCAGGUCACUUAGGGCUUUGUUGUGUCAGGUUUUGGAAAAACUCCAAGAAGGAAUAUUCCACAACUCCUUUGGAUGACCUGAAUGAUCGCUUAAUUAUCUUCAGAGGAAAAUUUUUAAACUUAAAUGUGGUUGAAAUUUCCCCCAUUUCAGUUUAUCACAUUUAAAUGUGAUGUAAAAUAAUAAGCCUUCAUUUCCUUGGUGGUUUUAUGAAUAUAAAUAAUAUUUGGAAAAGUAGGGGUUUGUUUUUUUUAUAGUCUGUGCAUUAUCUUUUAAGCAAAAUGCAUCUAUUCUCCCACCUUUGAAUGACAGGAAAAUGAGGUUUAGGAGGAAUGAAUGUCAUUUAUUGAUAAUUUUUGUCACUGGAUGUUCUCAACAUCCACUUCCUACAAAAAAAUACCCAAUGCAAAACUGUGAUAGAAACUGAGCUUUUCCUGAGAUAUUUGGGUAUGUAAAAAAUUGGUGUGUUUUUGUGAUAUACUAUAUUACAACUUUUCCAUCAGAAGGACACUUAAAUCAAUGUAUUGUUAAAUCUACUGACCUUCUGUCUACUUGUCAGAAGGGUGGGCUGGUAUGGUUUAUUCUCCAAAGUCUACUAAAGUACUGGAUGCACUUUCAGGGUUAUUACAAUUCAAGUAAAAAAGUGCUGAAACCCACAUGAUAACAAUUUUGAUAGAGGAAUGUCAUCUAGAUCUGUAUGUAUUUGAAAAAUCUAGUGCAUAAAUAAUCUUUCCUUAUCUUGAUUAGGAAAGUUGUUAGAUUGUAGUUCUUAUAAGGAAGUGGUUUUAUUCCCUCUGAAAAAAAAAUUCUAUGCAGAAGGACAUGAUUUUAGAAAUCAUGCAUAAUAUAUCAGGGGGUGACAUCAGAGGACAGAGGGAAGUGUAGCUCAUAUGAAGGCAAGAAUAAAGUUUAGAAGAAGACUUUCCUGAGUGUAGAGUGCCUGGAGAAUAAUGCCGUAUUUGCAGAUCUCUUCCUUUCUGUGCUCAGGAGGAGUCAUUGCCUCUAUUAUUAAACUUGAUCCUGAUGAUAUAUAUUGAUGUGAAAUACAGUGUACAUGAAAUUCUGUGGUAGAAUUGUUAAGCAUUGCAAUUCCUGGUGCGCAAAGUAGAAAGGAAUCAUGAUUUCAUAUUUUACUCUGCAGUAUUAUUGACAACUACUAACAUAGUAAUUAAAAAAAAAAAAAAAAAGAGAGCCUAGGCUGUUUACCUUUUGUUAGGAUAUAAUUAUGAUUUCUGUACUACCUAGAGAAAGAUGUAAUAAUCACAAUCCUUAAAAUCUUACAAAAUUUUAUAGUGCAUUAUAUUCUAAAAUAAACUAACAGAUAGACAUGGAAAUAUACAACAAAACAAUCACUUGGCUGAGUACAGGAAAGUUUUUUUCAAAGAAAUGUAAGUAUCAGCAAGUUAAUCCCUGAUUCAAUCUUGGCACAUUAUCUCAGAUUCUUCACUCUUUGAGCUAUUAUGUGCUGACUUCAGCAUAGAAAUGGUUAACCUGGGUCAUGAUUACACAUUUUCUUACAGAAAGUGAGGGAGUAAUCCAGAAGUCAGCAAGUGUACAAUUCAAGUGCCAUAGUGAAUACAAGGAGAGAGAGAAUGAAUAUCUAAAUAAAUGUUGAAAGGUAGGGAAUUUGGUAGAUGAAAGAAGCAUCUUUUUUUGUUUAUUUUGCUGGUCAGUCUUUUUUCUUUCUCUUCCUUCACUUCUAGAACUGCUGAGCUCUCACAUAAACAACAGUGUGAUAGCAGUAACCAAUCAAAAAUUUGACUUUUAAUUUAUUGACAGUGUGUUUGUUAAAAUACAGCAAUUUCUGCUGGGAUAUUGAUGUAAAAAUUUUAAAGAUGAGAUCCUGAAAUAAAAUAUAAUCAAUUUUUAGGUGAUUAUGAUAUUAAACAAUGCUAGAAUCUUAAGUACCAAUAUGACUAUUUGUAUCCAUGUUACGACUUUUGUAGGAUUGCAUCAGGCACAGUUGCUGUGUCUUGGGAGUACCUAGUAAGACUCUAGGGAGUCCUAAAGGAAAAACAUGCACCAAGAAGGAAAACAUUAAUGUGUAAUAACUCCAAAAUCUGAAAAUCAAGACGGCAGAAGGGGAAUCCUGUAUUCUUUCUUGCUUCCCUGCUUGCUUGCCCCAGCUGCAAGUUGAAGUCCCUCACAGGACCAUAACACUUUUGCCUUUAUAAUUUGACUGUAUUAGCAAUAAAGUGGUGAAGAUGAGGGAAGAAAUUUCUGGCACUGUCCUCAACUCCAAAAGCUCUUGUGCAAAAUGGGUCAUGCAUUAGUGGGUGCUUGCCAUGGAUAUUUUCUUUGGUUUGUGUUUCUUGCAGAGCUUAGCUGGUAUCUUCAGCAUCAUGAAAGACUUCCUAUGUAAUGUAUGGAAUUUUUGUUCUAUUCCUAGUUGUGCUUCUUUUCUUCAAAUUAUAUUUGUAUAUUUUGACAGUAGGCAGAAUAUCUAUUGUGGACCAUUUGUCCAUGGUCUUAAAGAUCCUCACAAUUAAUGUUAAAAAAUGAAAUAUUUUCUUCUAAACACAGCCUCUGUUUGUCUAGGAGGGGGUUUGGUUCACUGAAUAGAGUCCUGAAUGUAUCUGAAGCAUAUACUAAGUGUAACAGCAGUAUGUAUCUCAAAAGUUCUACAAAGAAGAUUUAAUACUGUCUGAGGUCAAUUCAUUUCCUGUCUCUGCUAGAGUGAUAAAAAUAUGAAGAGCUAAUUAUGUAAAAAAGUAUUUUUCAACUUUCAGAACAUACAAAGACUUCAUUGCAAAGAGCCACAAAAGGAAACUUGAUAGGAAAAAAGUUAUUACUUCUUUUUAUGUAGUAAAUAUGUGGAAAAUAAAUGUCUGGCUAUUUUAUAUCAAAAUAUUGUGAUGUUAAUUCUAUCAGAUUUGCCUAUAACUGCUUUAUUAUGACCAGUCACUAAAGCAGAAUGAAGCACUUCUUCAUGAAAAGAAAUAACAUUUCCCAAGCCAAUAUUUUUAAACCCAAGAAUAAAUUAAAGCAUUUUAAUAAAUAGCUUUAAAUGCAAUGUGAUCUAGUAAAAUGUCCUUUAAAAUAUAAGAUGCUGAAAAAAGUUAUCUGCAGGAAUGAUAAUUUGCCAUGCUACAAUAUUUAUAUAUGGCUAGAGAAUUUAUCUGUAGUAAAAUAAAGAAAGAAAUACAUAAAUGUUAAUGUAUUUUAGCAUCAUUAGAAUUUCACCAAUUUCUCCAUAGUUAACAUAAAUAGAUAUGACAAUGCUUAGCUCAGUUAAAAUGAAAACAUCAGUAUUGGGAAAAAAAGGUAUUUUGAGAUAUGCCUGUUAUUUUAGGGAUAUUUUUACUAAUUUUUGUAUAUUUGCAAAAAAGUUGUUUAUCUUUCUCUUACGAUAGUUUAUAGGGUUCUAAUGAUUUAUUAAUGUAUACAAAUAAAUGCAGCAUUUCUUAUAACGAAGCAGCCUGCUAGUGGCCUAGAACUUGUUUCUGAUUCCACAGGACUUUUUAACACUAUUCAUAAUCCUGGAAGGUCUUCCAGAAGGUCAACUAAUCCACUUUUCUAAUUAGUUAUCAUCUUAUUGUCAUCAACUUGUCAUUAACUGUCACUACUAUCCUGUAUGUGAUCUGUCCUGUGACUGCAGAGUGACAAAGUUCCACUUUUGUCUCCUGUAUCCCAGCAGCAGCAGUGCCUGUUCCCAGCAGGCUGACAGAGACAAGGGUGCAUAAUCUGGAGGACAAACCAUAGAUUGCUGGGGUUUUUUUUUGGUUUUUUUUUUUUUUUUUAGUGUGAUGAGGAAAUAGGAGUUUAUGCUUUUUUAUUUGCAGAUUUCUGUUUGUUGAAGGUGGGUUUUAAAUUAAGCAAUGCUGCAUAGACCACAGUGCAAGAAGUAGUGACCGCUUUCCAACAUGGGUAUUCUAUCCUGCUCUAUAAGUGUCUGUUUCAAAUGGAAAAACUUGCAGAUUGAAUUAUGAAAAUAAGCAUUAUAAAUCUUUGACAUGAGUUGCUCGUGCUCAUUUCCCAGAAGUCAUUUACUAUAAGUGCAUACUUAAGUGAUUGUCUCUUCUUUGUUCCAUUUUUGAGAGUUUUUGAAUAAACUUCCCAGAUGUUGCUAAAAUACACCAUCACCUGCAAUUUUGUGUUUGUGCUAAGACACCAACCUCUGUGCACAUAUUCUUUCACCUUCCACUAAUAAUAAUAACAAUAAAAACAAUAAUAAAAGAGUAGUUUAGUGACUAUUGAAGUUUAAAGGGCUGAAUUACAUCAUGACAGGCUACCAAUUACUUUUAUACAAACAGUAGAUACAAAUGCAUUCACCAUGACUUUCAUUCUGAGCCAUAAGAUAAAUUUUAGAAAGGAACAUUGUAAACUAAAUGCUGAAAUUAUGUUUGUAGUGAGAAAUCAAAGAAAUGGUGUCUAAUCUUUUCCUUCAUGACACGCUAAUCAGUGACUUUUAUUAGACACUUAACAGCAAAUACUUACAAGUAUUAAAUAUCAGAAAUUCUUGUGCUGGAAACUGCUGCACUGACAGAACUGAGAUGGCUCAAACCUAACCUUCACAUUUAAUCACUACAUUUCUCUGCUUAAUAGUGCUUUUUCUCCUACUGUUAGCUUUGUGAUGAUGAAAAACACAUUUUGGUCUUGUGUCAGUACUGGAAAUAGGACUUGCAAUCAUAAAAUCUUUUGCCACUCUAUGCUGUGCAAGUGAUUGAACAAGAAAUUCAGUCUGUCAAGCAACAGUCAAUAGCCAUCAUGGCAGCUGAUUUUAUGCUGAUCAAGGCUUCUGGAGUGAAAGCUUGUGCUGUCCUGGGAAUGCUGAUGUCCUCAACAGCCCAGCAAAGUUUAAGAUGAGUAGAGUUAAAUGUAAGGUAAAAUUUGUUAUACAAUGAUGUUUGUCAUAUGGUGACAUUAUAUAUAUAACUUCACAGAUUUAUUUAUGUUAAUCAUGAGGGGCAUAGAAUAUAACACUCAAUAUUAAUAUAUGCUAGCUAUGUAGCAUAUUAAUAUAUGCUACAAUUUGUAUGGGUAGCAGAAGAGGAAAGGAUUACAUUUUCUUAACCCUUUACCUUCUCAAUUUACCAUCAUUAAAUCCCAUACAUUGGAUUUCUAUACAUGAUUUUUUGACCUUAAUCAUUCACUAUGUUAUUAGUUGGUUUCUGGGAGUUACCUUGUGAGACAGCAAUGAUCUGGUUUUGGAAAUGCUGUUAGUAUUAGUUACUGCAGGAUAAAACAGCUGCUUUAUUAACAGCUUCAAAUAUGUGCUAUUUAAUUCUAAGGGAUAAUACUGGUUUUCAGCUGGAGAAAAACAUGCAAAAUUAUGUUAGGGAAGAUAAGUUCUGAUAUUACCAAACCUAGCACUGCUGAAAUGCUUACAUUUUCUUCUGUAUUCCAUUGAAAUGUAAAGACUUUAAACUGGCAAAGCAACAAACAACUGUUUAAAAAGAAAUAUUUAUAGCCAGAAAAUAAGCUUUUUUUUUUUUUUUUUUUUUGUCUCUACUGUGUUGCUUUAAUCACUUCCACCUAUCCAGCAUAAACCAACUCAAAACCCAUGGUGGCUGGCCAUAACAUCUACUCUAGGAUGUCUUUUGUAAGACUGUGUCCACCAGCCUGUGACUGAUAGUUCUUAAAGAAAAAGAGCUCAAUUGAUUUGGAAGGAGUUUCUACAGACCCAUUUAUGAUGUGCAGCUUGAGCAGCCUUAGUGCUCAGUUGGAGCUGGUAAAUAGAACUGGAAAUCUACAGGACACCUGGCAAAGAAACAGUGGUCAUUUCUUCUGCUGCAGCAGGCACUUAGAUGUCUUGUUGUGUUGUCAGGGCUGACGAAAAAAACAUCAUUCAGUCUUCACUGAGGAUAAAAUAUAAUACAAAUUUCCUUGGAAAAUGAUCCUUAGCUGAAUCAGGACCAGGAAGAGACAACCGAGGUAACUAAGCAGAUGGACUUCUCAAUUUUAUUUUUGAAAGUAAUCAAAGCAAAACAGCAAUAAAGGAGCCAUUCUAUAAAUAUAACCAUGUUGAAAAAAACAAACUUCUUUAGGAUGUUUCUGGGUGUCUUCUUUCCUUGCUAUUUGUUUUGUACUUUCGUUGUUUACUUUUGGCAAUUAUAUCUAUAUAUAAUAGAUAUAUACUUUAAUGUAUAUAUAUAUAUACAGGGAAAAACACUCCUGCUGUGGACUUUUCAUAUGUUCUUGCAUAAUCUCAGUGAGAACAGGGGAAGUAACUUUUUAUAAUUUUACCCAGUUUUAUGUUUCUAGUUUGAUUAAGAUUGGAAAAAACCAAACCAAAACAAAACAAAACAUAAAAAAAAGCCCCAAAAUAUUUCUGCUGUGCCAGAGAAAAUGGUUGCAAGGAAUCAGUACAUUCAAGGGCAAAAUCAAGGCAAGGCAUGGCAAGCAGAACGUGUGAGAAAUGUCACACAAACCCUUCUUCUGGGUAUGCUCACCCACACACAGGUGGCAGAGGUCUGGGGAUGCAGAAUGUCUUUCUGGGACACCACUGAUCCCCUCCUGCUCUGCUGCUGAAUUAAUGAUAAGAAUUUAACAGUCUUUUGAGUGGAAUUAAUUGCUAUACUCUCAGGAUGUAAGUGGAAGAGACGGAAAGAGGAGAAUAAAGGAGUAAUUCUUACACUGAAGUGUAGACAGUGCUGGGCUGGGUUUUUAUGAUCCACCUGGAUUUGUUCCUGGAGUUGGGUGUUCCUAAUAAGGGUGGUGAGAUAGAGCUGAGCUCAGACUAGUUGCCAAUGGAUAUAAUAAACAUAUUACAAAAUGGAAUUAUUGGAGUGGAAUUUUGUUUUGUUUAAUGUAGAUAUUCUACAAAAAAAUUUAACCAAUAAAUUUUGAAAAAUGUGGUUAUGUUACUGUCUUGUUACAUUCCAGUAUAAACAAAAUGGAAUUCAAGUAAUGUUCCUACCCUAUAUUCAUUUCAUUUAUCAUAAUUUUCCAUAUUUGUGUUUGGAUCAAAAUUAAUCUUAGUUGAAAACGUCCUUUUAAUGUAGAAUUUGCCACUUAUGGAUAAGUGUGUGUUUCGCUCACCUAAUCAAAGUUGUGUUUUAGUAUGUUUGAGAAUGGUGUCUUGAGAAUGCCAAGUUGUUUGUUUCCAUAAAACUUUAAGUUAAUUCUGAUUGCCAGGCAUCAUUAUCACUUAACGGUUACUGACACAUAUAUUUCUAUUUUUAUUUAAAUGAAACAAGCAGCACUAUCCUGCAUAUGUGGGGUUCUCUAGAGGUUCUCUAAAGAUCAUCAUUUCACUGCCUAUAAUGAAAAGUUUGCGUUGAUGACUUCUUAAAUAGGUAUUGUUGCUUCUUCAAAGUGUCAAGACAGUAAAGAACAGUAUGUCUUGGAUUACCAUAAAUAGGAUAAGAGCACAUUGAAAUUGUACCUUCAACACUACAUUCAGAGCAAUGUGUUUGGAACUUUUAUAAGUUCCACAGUCAUUUAAACCACAGGAACAAGAAGGAAAAUGAGACAUUUGUAUAAUCUGAUUAUAACUAUGUGUUUUUUCUAUUUAAAAAUUGGGUCUUAUUCCAAGAGAACAAUGGAAAAAUCUGGGGUCUCCUACCCAAAAGGGGAAAGUUCAUAAUAAAUUUUUUUUUAUUUGUCUUGAAGUCCAGUCAUCAGAAUAAGUAUAUUACCUUUCAUUCUACUUAUUGAUUGUAUUAAAACAUUUAGAGAUAAAAGAAAAAAAAAAGGUGUGUAUAUUUUUAAAUAUUGGCCUAGAAUAUCAAUCACAGACAUAACUAUAUAAUAAAAAAAGAAAGUCAUAAAUCAGCUCUGUCGCAUGUCUUGUCAGAAUUUAGGACAAAAUCUGUUGCAGGAAGCUGGAAGACAUUCAUCGUUGUUAUUUUGGAGCAGUAAUAUUUUGCCAGAAGGGAAAAUGCUUUGCCUCAAAUCAGUGUCAAAAUUUGCAGCUGAAUCCAAAACUUUCUUAUGACUAAAGUUUUUGUUUUUCUCGGUUAGUGUCCUGUACUUGGAAUUUAGUAGGAAAUAUUAAAAGGAUACAAAUUCCUCAUUAAAGUUCAGAAAUUAAUUCUAGAACCACGCCACACUCUGCCAUAAAAUUACCUAGUAGGUCCUAAUUUCCCAUGAGCCAAGCAGAAAAGUUCUGAGAAUAACUGUCUUAAAGAUGUAUGUAAAAUUUUGUGUGUAUAUAUCAUAUUUAUAAAAGUAUGUGAUAUAUAUAUAUAUAUGUUUAUAUAUAUACAUGUUUAUAUAUAUAUGUUUAUAUAUAUACAUGUUUAUAUAUAUAUAUAUAUAAACACAACAUAUAUGUUGUUAGAUGUGUAGGAACACUUGAGACAUGCCUAAAGAUGGAAUUAAAUACAGUCCCUUAAUAAGAAGGAAAUAAAGAAAGGAUGAUGGUGUAAUAGUGGAUGGCAAGAUACAGAAAACAACUGUGGAGAGAUUGGGAGGACAUUGAAAUAGUUUGAAUUUACUGUUGGGUUGUAUGAAAUUGGCAAAACCAGUUACAUUUAUUUCAGAACCGUGGUUUUCAUCCCAGUCUAUGGCAGGCAGAGAAGCAGCAAGUGGCAACUAUUUUAUUAUAUUUUUUAGGUGUACUCAUAUGCUCUGUUAGUCAGCUAUUACCGUCUUGACUCAAUUCCUUAAGUUUUUUUUCUCCUAUGAAUUAGGAGAAAUGUUUUGAGCCUAUGCAAGCUGAGGCAAUAACCUACCUGCAUGCACAGAGUUCAACUAUGAGGAAAGUGACAGCGUACCAACCUCCUGUUUUGAAAUUCUAGCCUGAUGAUUUCAGUCCAUUGAUUCCGUUUAUGUUUUAUGACAAGAACUAAACACUCAUUCCUUAUUCACAUUCUUCUUGGCAUCCAUGAUUUCACAGACUUCUGUUGCAUGCUUGGGGUUUAAAGGUCAGUCAGAUCUCAUUCAGAUGUUUUUGUAUAUCUUUGAGAAUUCUUUCUGCCCUUUUUCACUUCUUUUCAUAUCUUACUAUCCUUUUAGGAUAUGAUGACCAUAAGUAUUUUAUACUCUCUUCCUUUCCUUAUAAUUUUUAUUUGUUUUGGUUUUGUUUUUCACUCGUUAUCCUUUUUACUCUUUCCCCUAUAGAUAAUACUUUAAUAGAACUCUUUAUUAUAAUUGCAAAUCUUUGACUAAGUAAUAAGGCUAGAAACUGGUGUUUACUGACUAUCAGUGGUAACUCCUUUUCACUGUUUCCAUGAAAAAAAAAUCAGGAUUGCUUUCUUUAGUGUGCACAAUUUCAAUGUGUUCAGUUUUGGUUUAUCCAUUGUACUGCCAAGUACUAGCCUGUUAUUCUUCUUCACCUCUUGACACUUUUCUCAACACUCUGUUCAUUUUAUAAAAAAAAAAAAAGUUAAUUUGAGGUUGGGACAUGUAAAAAUAUUCAGUGUUUUUACUCUGUCAUUGACACAUUAGUACCACAGAUACAUUACAUUCUAUACCCGUUCUAGAACACAGUUUACAAAAUACUAAUCCUCACCAUUGGCUACUCUUAUAGAUAUAAAAUUUUAUGGUAAAAUAGCUGAAGGAUAGUAAGAAAUUCCCUUAUUGUAAAGGAAAUAGAAAGCAGAUAUGACCAAUCUGUCAGCCCAUCUAAUCUAGCAUUUUCUAUCUGGUGAUGUUGCAGAUAGUAUGUUUCGAAGAGUGCUGUAGCAGACAUAUUUGCAACAACCUAUUUGGAGUGUGUAUUUCUUUUUCUGUUUAUCUGACUUUACAGCUUGAAACAAGAAGCUUCAAUCCUUCAUCCUUUAGGUAAUUUCUAUCUCUCUUCAGGGCACAAGGUAAUCUUUAGCUGGCAAGGGCACAAAGCUACGUUUUAGGAGGCAGGUUGCUCCAUCAUUUUCCACACGAAUACAUUGCAUCUUUCUCUGAUGUAUGUGGCUCUGGCCCAAGUUAGAGGCAGAGUGCUGAGCUAAUCACAGGUCUGCUCCAGCAUAGCAGAUCCUGUAAGAUAACAGAUGCUCCACAACAAAUACAGAAUUUCCUGUCAAUAGUACAUAAUUCCAUCUGAAAACACAUGGUGAUGCAUGUCAAAAAAGCCAGUUGACUGUACUUGUAGGUCAUUUUAUACCUUAUCCCUUUGUAAAUAUAUGUGCUGGUAUGAAAUUCAGUAUAUAAAAUAUUGGAUUUUAGAACCUUGAUACAAAUUGUGCAAAUAUUCAUUACUUUCUUUUCCUGGAAGGGAAAGUUAUAAUUUCUUUAAUUUUUCAAAAAGUUUUUUUUAAUGACAUAAGCAAUUUAAAUUGUUUUUAUAAAUAUUUUUCCUGUCUUUGUGGAAUGGAGAAGACAACUCCAGCAGACUGCAAUUGCAGAUUGCAGUUACCUUUUCUUUAGUUUAAAAGUGCUGGCAUGAUAAGUGAAAAUAAUAACUGUUCUUUGUGUACAAAAUACUUUCAACAACCAAAUAAAAAUUGGGACAGUUCGAUUUCCUGCACCAUAAUGAGUAAAUCUCUGUUCUGUGUUCAGUAAAUCAUUUGGCACCUUCUUGACAACUGAAAAUGGGAACAAUGGUAUCUUUAUAACUCACAGACGUAGUGCAAUGGACUAAAACCACUAGUCACACUAAGUGAUCAUCUGAUUAAACAUCUGAGUGAUAAUCCUAAUCUAGCAGUUUUCUCAGUUAAAAUCCUCAACUGUCCCUUAGUUAAACUACUUCACAAAAAGAGACAUUGAUUCACCAAAAAAAUAAAUAUAUAUUGAUAGUUUGUAUGUUUUAGGGUCUAUAUUUGAAUAAGAUGCAGAGUGUUUGAAGUGUUCUUGAGUCAUCUGUUGACUUUUAAAAUUGUUUUAUAGUUUUUAUUCUCAUACAGAGUUAAAACCAUUAGGUCAUUUCACGUAACUGUCUAGAAGCCAUAUAUCAAGAUACUCAUUCAGGAAAUACUUUAAAUUUCAUCUGACUAGAGGAAGACUUGUGGACUAGCUAGCACACAUUUUUCAACAGAACUCUAGUUUGAAAUUUAAGCCAUAUGAAAAGAAUAUGCUGUUUUCCAUGGAAUGUGUGUCAAUUACAGGAGUUGAGGGAAGAUUUUUUUAAUAUUUUUUUUCCCCUAAAAAAUGUACGACAACAUAUCAAACAGACAGACUGGAUAUUUUGCAGGAGGAAAAGGUGGCUCACAUGGAUACCAUAGAAUUUCAUAAAGUUUCCAGUAUGGCCAAUGAAUAAGAGGGAAUACAAUGCAGAAUACAGUCUCAGCCUUAAAUGGCAAUGUGUGACAUUCAAAACAUCAUGAGAAACUUAGGGUUAUAUUUUUAAGGAUUAUUCAUUUUAUUUUUUUAAUGGAUUCAGUCUAUCAGUUCAGUUUUUCUUACUCUAGAAAUAAAUAUAACUCAUAAUUUCCAAACCUGAAUACCUUCCAUUUGAAUAAUUUAGAAGACUUAGAAUAAUUUAAAGAAGGUUGCUUUAGUUCUGCACUGAACAUCUGAGACUAUUGACCCCUUUUAUAAUGCAGUGUGGACUCACAGAAAUGAUCAACCUAUGUCUACAUAGAUUUUCCUCUAAUUGCCACAUUAAAAUUUUGAAAAUUAUCAUAAAUAUUAGAUAAUAGAGUAAUUUGAAUCAAUGCCAUUUCCAGAUUGCGUUGCCAUAUACAUUUAGGUCUCCCUGAGAAGGGCAGUACUAGUCUCCAGUAAAGGUAUGUCUUUCUUGAUCAUGCUCUCACCUAGCACAUCAGUGCUUAUAUAAUUCUGUGAUUUUUUUUCUGUUAUAGAGCCUUGUACACUCACUAUGUUAAUUAUUUUUUUAAUUGUACAUUCUUAUAUAACAUCCUAGCUUUAUUUCUGUUUGCUAGCUUUCAGUUUUCUAUGAUUUUGCUGAAGAUAUACAUUGCAGGAUUUGUUUUCUUAUACUAAGUGAACAGAAAAAUAUAUUCAGCUCGAAUAUGUUCUCACUUUCUUGCACCAAAACGUAUCAGACUUACUCAAGUUGUUUUAACCAUCAGUGUGCACAGAACAUAAAAUAUUAUAUAAACUUCAUUGCAGGUGAAGACAUACAACUAAAUUUUGCUUUCACCUGCAUGUGUUUAAGGACAGAACAUGUUCAUGUAUAUGAUAUUUCUGUAAAAAAAGGGGUCCCUGAUGUGAUGUUUUUCACUGCAUAAAGCAGAAUAAGCAGCACAGCUUGAGUAAGAAACACAUGUCAGAUAAAGAAGGAAAAAAAACUGGUGGGUAAGGGCAUAAUAAUUAAAUUUUGUCACACUUCUUUAGUCCUUUUGCAGAAGGGCUCAUCAGAAUGGUGCUGGAUCUUAGCAACUAUUGCAUCAAAGUCUACAGUCAGAAGUGCAGGACUGUGUUUUCAUGACAGGAUGCUGUUAAAGACACAAACUGUAAUUCAUUAUUUUCUAAAAUUUCUGACCUUCUAGCAAAUAUAAUUCUUCAGUUUCAUCCACAGUUAGACAUCUUCAGCAUUAGCAGGUCAAAUCCUUAUUUGUUUUGAAGUCAGUGAUCCUGUGACAUAAAUUUAUUUCUCAUCAUCAUCUAAAUUUCUUUAAAAAUUCAGCUCAUGGACCUGUGUAGAUAAAUACUGAAAAACUUCCUCUUUCUGAUUGCCAUUAGUAUAAGAAAUUACUUGCUUUUAAACAGCUUUAUUGACCUUUUAUGCCCUGGAUUCAUUUCUCUCAGUAUCUUCCACAGAACAAUUUUUAGAUUUGUUAAUUUUGUAUUUGCAUGAUAGUUCUGGGAAGAUAUGCAGAAUGCACUCAUGCUCCUAAUUCUUCAUUCGUUUAUCAGGGCAUACCAAAUUUUCAAGCUGAUGCUAUUUUACUCUUUUUAUAUUUGUUACUGGAACUCUUAAUGUGCUUGGAGGCUUUGAAAGGCUUCACAUUAUAGUACUCAUCUCUUUUGAGGCUUUUUUGUAUAUAUUUUAGUUCUUUUUCAAGGAUUUUCUAGGAACUAUGAGCUCUUCUCUUAUGAUUCUUCAUGAUCAAUCAUUGUGCUUUCCAGUUUGCCAUCUUGGAUGAAUAUAUACUGCAGUUACAUAAAUUUGGGUGUGGAUAUACAAAUAUGUGUUUGUAUAUGCACUUGUAUAUAGGCAUAUGCAUAUGAACAAAUAUGUUUAAACACUCAUAUGGCUAUGAGUGUGUAUACAUGCAUAACACAUAUAGAAAAUGCUCAUACGGAUAUUCUUAAUGGCAUAUUUAGGCAUAUAGGAGGCACACAGGCCCAAGCUGCCAGAGUGUCUAGCUCUAUAAAACACAAAACAAGAUUUUCCUUUGGUGCUCUUUCUAAGGACUCCAGCUCUUCAUGACACUUCCAGAAGUGUAGUGUACAGCAGUAUCUGUGCAUCACUGUGACAAAGCACUUUUUGUCUUCUGCAAAUUGAAGUUCAUUACAUUAGUGCUGAUGUUCUCUCAGCAGGUGGUCGAUGUCAAUUAUUUUUUGCUUCUGUGUAAUGAAAGCUGCUACAUAUUCAUUUCAAUUCUGUUACAGACCUCUGAAGUUCUGACAAGCUGUGAGCAGUUCUUCUAUCAGGUAAACUUAUGAACAGCUUCCUAAUAGUUGGAAUCAUCUUGUCCUGACUAACCUGGAUUUCUCACAACUUGUCUCUAUGUUUGCCUCAUACACAGUUGAGGUUGUCCUUUUCCUUUCUCAAUUUUUAGAGCUUGUUGCAGAAGACAGGCAUCCAGACCUCACUUGCUCCCUUACAACAGCUGUUGCCAAGUGUUGGACAAGGUGAUUUUAUUUUAACAGGUGCCUGCACAAGAUAAUUUACAUUGAUCUGACACUUGGACUAUGUCCACAUGAGAAACUUACCUUGCCCUUGUCCAAGCCAGCACUAAUUUCUAGUCAGAUCAAACUGAGUUCUGUUCCUCUGGAAAUAACAGCCUCAAGACUCUGUGCCAGUGCCAGUCACAUGGACACAAACCGACCUAAUUCUGAAUCUUGAAUAAAGUGCUUCUUGACUAUUCAGAUUUAAACAAAACAAAACAAAACAAAAAACCCACUAAACCAGAAUGUGGUAUUACAUUAAAAAUCUCUUCCUAGUCUUCAACCUGCUGCAGUACAGAAAUUCUGAGUUUCAUUUCCAGGAUUUUGCCAUCACUUUGAUAUAUUUUACGCGUGCACGUGCGCACACACACACACACACACACACACACACACACACACAUAUAUAUAUAUAUAAUCCCUAACUCUGAAUCUAUGGGAUUUUUUAAAAAAACAUUUUCUAGGUAUUGAAAAAGAUGUCUGAAACAAUGGAUCUUUUUUCAAAGCCUUUGUUUGUCUUAUGACUCAUUAGAGGGACAGUAACUCAUUGGGUACUCAUAUUACACUGGCAACUAAAUAUGUUGAAAAACAUCCAAGUUAUGCUCAUAUAAAUCUUCCUAACAGCCAGCUAGAGCACUCCCUCUACUAUGUGCAGACACACUGCCAGGCAUAAAGAAAAGAUGGUUGAAAAGUUUUACUUUGUGUCCCUCUAGACAAUAAGUCAUCAGAAUUCAUUUUUAUGACUGAAGGCAUAAAGAGUUUAGUGGCUGAGGAGCUGCCUCUGUUUACCAGAAUUGGCUUUCUGGACUUGCACAAUGCAGUGUGCAUUAGGCAGGUAGAAAUUUGUUAUCAGCAGUAUAAAAACAUCUGUCAUGCUGUCAAGUUUAAUGAGAGGGAGGCAUGGAAGAAGAUAUUGCAAUCUAGAGAUACAAUUAGAUCUCUGGAAGAAAAGUUUGAGCCGUAUAACUUGUUCAUUGGAGUACAAAAUGACCAACUCACACACACUGGCUGGGGCAGGAAGGCACUCUGGAGAUAACCUGAUCCAAGCCUCUACUCAGAGCAGGGUCAACAAGAGCAGGGUAGCCAGGAGUGUGUCUAGCUGGGUUUUUAAUAUCUCUAAGUGUAGAGAAUCCUCAGCUUCUCUAGACAACUUUUCUGGGUGUGACUUUCUUCCUCUCAAAUAAAAUUUUACUUAUGUUUAAGUCUCAUUUUGUGCCCUCUGCGUGAGAAAACUUUGUCCUCUUUACUCCCCCAUCAGGGAGUAUGAGUCCUCUGAGUGUUCUUGUUUUCCAGACUGACAAGUCACAGUUUUUUCAGCCUCUUCUUUUGUGCCAGAUGCUCCAGUCCUUGAGCUCCUUGAGACCGGACUCACUCUAGUCUGUUUACAUCUUUCUCACACUGAGAAGCCCAGUACUGGACCCAGCACUUCAGAUUUGUCUUGCCAGAGUAGAGAAAGGGGAUCACUUCCCUUAUCCUGCUAUCAACGCUUUUGCAUAACGCAGGCCAGGGUACCUUUAGCCUUCUUGGCUGCGAAGGCAACCUGCAGACUCGUGUCCAGACUUUGUGUCCACCAGGACACCCAGGACAUUCCCUGCAAACUACCUUCCAGAUGGAGCAUACACUGGUACUCGAGUUAUUCCUCCCCAUGGUCAGGAUAUGGCCUUUACCCUUGUUGAUCUCUAAAGCUCUUGGCCUAUUUCUCCAAUCUCUCAAGGUCUUCCUGAAUAAAAGGACACCAAUCUGGUGCAUCAGCCACUCUUUCAAGUAUUGUAUUGUCUGUAAAAUCACUGAAGGUGUGCUGUAUCCCAUCAUCUGGGUCAUUAAUUAUAAUGCUGAACAGUAUUGGCACUAUUACAAUUACCCAGGGGAGAAUCUGUACGAUGUUGUAGAAAUGACAUUCAAUGCUUAUGAAAAAAGUUAUAUUCAGACAUUAUAUUAGAAACAGCUUUCCUACCAUCUUGACUAUCAGAUCAAAAUGUUUCCAUUAGUUUUUUGAGUUGUUAAUUUCAUCUCUUUUUAAGAAAACUCUUCUUUAUUGAUGAAAAAAGUAAUGUUUAAAAAACAAAGCCUAACGAUUUUUAAACUAUCAUGACAUUGAUCUUAAACUAUGAAAAUUUUGAAGAGUAUUGUUCAUGCUCUUUGUGUUGGACUUUGUUUCAAUAAACCUAAUUUCAGUUUUCAGUACUGAAGUUUUCAGUAGAUGGUCAUCUAAAAGGCACAUCAUUGUCAAAUUAUAAAGAGAUAAGUUAUUAUAAUUUGUGUUAAUCUUCCUUUUUAGAUUUCAGUGGUCACUCUACUUUUUAGUUCAGAAGACUAAAGACUAUUUACUUUACUCGGUUCUUCAAGAAGUUCAAUGAUGUUUCAGUAAUUAAACUUCAUUAUGCUACCUGCUAGAGCUCUUGCACUAGACUAAAAUUCAGCUGCUGUCUUCUUGAAUGACUUUUAUUACUCUUGUUCAUGUUGUGCCCUUGGAAAUUGAACAUUAGCAAAGAUUUCUCCAUCAGGGGUGACAAAGUGUUAGACCAUGAGGUGAUAAAAAGGAAAGAGAUGGCAGACAUAAAAGGAAGUGUUUUUACAUCUGUAAAUACUGCUAAAACAACAUCAGAAAAUAUUUUAGGACCAAGUUUCAAGUAAGCCCUGUUCAUUUGAUGCCCACAUGAGCGUUUGCCUUUUUUUUCCCCAGAAACUGUUCCUAGGCAUGUAUUAUCCAAGCCCACAAUGCAUUGCUGUUUUCUUGUAUUCAUGAUUUAUGGCUAGAUAGGACCCAACCACUAAAGGUAGAAAAAUGUAUUAGGAAAUUGCCACUGUAAUGCUUCACAUAUACUUAAUAAGUGUAGAUCUGCAAACAUACUUGAAUCAGCAUAUAGAUCAUAAAAUAAUAGAAUCAGAAUUAUUAAGAUUGGAAAAGAUCUCAAAGGUCGAGUUCUACCAUUAACCAGAUAAUAUUUAUGUUUCUGUUGGCAUCUAAAAGAAGAGACAUAGAUAAUCGUGCUUCUUCAUAACAAGAGGACAUUCAGGGUAAUCAAGUCUAAUUCUUUUGAUCUCUGGGAUAUCACACCUUUAGCAAUUGGCAAAAGUCCACCUGAGUUUUGUUAUCCACCUGCCCUAUAAAAUCAUACUUCUGUCUUCCUGGCUACUUGCAUCCAUUUAUUUUUGUGUCAGUCUGGUCCUUUAGUUUAGAGAGAAGUUUUCACUUUCUGUUCUUUCUUCUUCCCUUUCUCUGAACCUCUGUCCUUCCCACUCCCUGCCAGAAGGAAAUAUCACAAGGCAUCUUUCCUCCUUGGUUUUGUAGCCUUAUUAAGUUACGCAUUAGUCUACCAGCCAUAGUAUCAUCCUUCUUCUGUUUGAUAACAAUUUCUGUCAUUCAUCAAUCUACAAGUCCUCCCCUGGAGUGCUCCAGUGGCUCUGCACAUAGGAAAUGUGCAGAUAGAGAAGUACAGACACUGUAGUGUGUACAGACAUUGCUAAUAUUAAUUUUUGUAUUUUAAAGUUUUUUAAGUUCUUAAAAAUAUUUGUAGGUUGUUAUCUUCGUGAUC